GUCUACAGCCAUACCACCCUGAACACGCCUGAUCUCGUCUGAUCUCAGAAGCUAAGCAGGGUCGGGCCUGGUUAGUACUUAGUACUUGGAUGGGAGAAAACCUGUAUUAUUAGUG
ensembl:rRNA 5S_rRNA 5S ribosomal RNA